rnacentral:rRNA from 1 species
GACGAACGCUGGCGGCGUGCCUAAUACAUGCAAGUAGAACGCUGAAGGAGGAGCUUGCUUCUCUGGAUGAGUUGCGAACGGGUGAGUAACGCGUAGGUAACCUGCCUGGUAGCGGGGGAUAACUAUUGGAAACGAUAGCUAAUACCGCAUAAGAGUAGAUGUUGCAUGACAUUUGCUUAAAAGGUGCAAAUGCAUCACUACCAGAUGGACCUGCGUUGUAUUAGCUAGUUGGUGGGGUAACGGCUCACCAAGGCGACGAUACAUAGCCGACCUGAGAGGGUGAUCGGCCACACUGGGACUGAGACACGGCCCAGACUCCUACGGGGGGCAGCAGUAGGGAAUCUUCGGCAAUGGACGGAAGUCUGACCGAGCAACGCCGCGUGAGUGAAGAAGGUUUUCGGAUCGUAAAGCUCUGUUGUAAGAGAAGAACGAGUGUGAGAGUGGAAAGUUCACACUGUGACGGUAUCUUACCAGAAAGGGACGGCUAACUACGUGCCAGCAGCCGCGGUAAUACGUAGGUCCCGAGCGUUGUCCGGAUUUAUUGGGCGUAAAGCGAGCGCAGGCGGUUAGAUAAGUCUGAAGUUAAAGGCUGUGGCUUAACCAUAGUAGGCUUUGGAAACUGUUUAACUUGAGUGCAAGAGGGGAGAGUGGAAUUCCAUGUGUAGCGGUGAAAUGCGUAGAUAUAUGGAGGAACACCGGUGGCGAAAGCGGCUCUCUGGCUUGUAACUGACGCUGAGGCUCGAAAGCGUGGGGAGCAAACAGG